rnacentral:rRNA from 3 species
UUUAUUGGAGAGUUUGAUCCUGGCUCAGGAUGAACGCUGGCGGCGUGCCUAAUACAUGCAAGUCGAGCGAAUGGAUUAAGA